rnacentral:rRNA from 1 species
AUACGGAGGGUGCAAGCGUUAAUCGGAAUUACUGGGCGUAAAGCGUACGUAGGCGGUCCGUUAAGUUAGAUGUGAAAGCCCCGGGCUUAACCUGGGAACUGCAUUUAAAACUGGCGAACUAGAGUUGAGUAGAGGGGAGUGGAAUUUCAGGUGUAGCGGUGAAAUGCGUAGAGACCUGAAGGAACACCAGUGGCGAAGGCGACUCCCUGGACUCGAACUGACGCUGAGGUACGAAAGCGUGGGUAGCAAACGGGAUUAGAUACCCCUGUAGUCC